rnacentral:rRNA from 1 species
UACGUAGGUGGCAAGCGUUGUCCGGAUUUACUGGGCGUAAAGAGCGCGCAGGCGGUCGAGUAAGUCGAAUGUGAAAGCCCCCGGCUUAACUGGGGAGGGUCAUUCGAUACUGUUCGACUUGAAGGCAGGAGAGGGCAGCAGAAUUCCCGGUGUAGUGGUGAAAUGCGUAGAUAUCGGGAGGAACAUCAGUGGCGAAGGCGGCUGUCUGGCCCAAUACUGACACUCAGGUGCGACAGCGUGGGGAGCAAACAGG